GGCGGCGUGCCUAACACAUGCAAGUCGAACGAAGCCUUCGGGCUUAGUGGCGCACGGGUGCGUAACGCGUGGGAAUCUGCCCUUGGGUUCGGAAUAACAGUUAGAAAUGACUGCUAAUACCGGAUGAUGUCUUCGGACCAAAGAUUUAUCGCCCAAGGAUGAGCCCGCGUCGGAUUAGCUAGUUGGUGAGGUAAAGGCUCACCAAGGCGACGAUCCGUAGCUGGUCUGAGAGGAUGAUCAGCCACACUGGGACUGAGACACGGCCCAGACUCCUACGGGAGGCAGCAGUGGGGAAUAUUGGACAAUGGGCGAAAGCCUGAUCCAGCAAUGCCGCGUGAGUGAUGAAGGCCUUAGGGUUGUAAAGCUCUUUUACCCGGGAUGAUAAUGACAGUACCGGGAGAAUAAGCCCCGGCUAACUCCGUGCCAGCAGCCGCGGUAAUACGGAGGGGGCUAGCGUUGUUCGGAAUUACUGGGCGUAAAGCGCACGUAGGCGGCUUUGUAAGUUAGAGGUGAAAGCCCGG
rnacentral:rRNA from 1 species